GAUAAAAAUAUCUCAUCUUUGAAUCUAUUUGCUUUGUUUGAACAAAAUUAAUUAAUAUCCUUUUCUCUGUAGAUUGGUGAUGGAGAAAAAAAAACCUCAUUGUUUAUUAACACACAGUCAAGAUAGAGAAAGUGAGAAUUAUUUAAACUACACGAGGCUUUUUGGUGAAAGCUGUUUGGGGAAGAAUUAUUUCUACAAAUCUUUGUGGAUUGCAAUUGGAUCAGUGUGACAGGAGUUUAAAUGAAGCCCUGGACAGUGACUUCUGGAAGUAACACAUGAAGAUGUAAAGAACAAAAUCCGAGAUCACUGUUCUAAAGUCAAAUUUCUUUUGCUUAGGACAUAACUACUCCCAUGGAGAACAAUAUAAACAUAUUACAUUUGACACUUGAACUGGUUAAGUUUAUUAUGACAGGCCUGGACCAUAUUUUUGUAAAUCAAAAUAUGCUUAAAA